rnacentral:misc_RNA from 1 species
GAUGAAGAACGCAGCGAAAUGCGAUAAGUAAUGUGAAUUGCAGAAUUCAGUGAAUCAUCGAAUCUUUGAACGCACAUUGCGCCCCCUGGUAUUCCGGGGGGCAUGCCUGUCCGAGCGUCAUUACAACCCUCAAGCUCAGCUUGGUGUUGGGCCCCGCCGCCCCGGCGGGCCCUAAAGUCAGUGGCGGUGCCGUCCGGCUCCGAGCGUAGUAAUUCUUCUCGCUCUGGAGGUCCGGUCGUGUGCUCGCCAGCAACCCCCAAUUUUUUUCAGGUUGACCUCGGAUCAGGUAGGGCUACCCGCUGAACUUAAGCAUAUCAAUAAGCGGAGGA